GCCAGUUUCCUUGCUUGUGCAUAUUACGGUUAAGAAAGUGUGUGAGUUAACAAGAGGCUUUAACCCAUCAUCUGUAAUUCCCAAACACUUUCUUAACCGUAAUAUGCAUAAGCAAGGAAACUGGCUCACAAGCUGCAGCCCCUCAUCACUGAUUUCUUGGCAUCUGGCUAGCUCCAAGGUUUCCAGAUACGGAGCUGAGCAAAGAGCUUCCAUCCCAGCGUCAUUGAAGGAAUACACAUGGUCAAGAGCAAGUUCUCGAAUAGGGCACAUCUGAAUCAAAGCAAGGAUUCCACUUAAAGUAAACGACGAAAUGGAAGGAAACUCCCCAUCUGAAAAAGAAAUCCGGACAGAUUCAAGCACUGGACAGUUUUGAGCCAAAGCUUUAAGACUUUCAUCUGUUAACCUCAAAGGGUUAUUCAGCAGAAGUGGCAAGGAGAAAUCAGA
rnacentral:misc_RNA from 1 species